GUGCUCACUUCAGCAGCACAUAAAUUGGAAUGAUAUGAAAGAAAAUUAACAUGGCCCCUACACAAGAAAGACACACAAAUUUGUGACGUGUUCCAUAGUUUU